rnacentral:sRNA from 1 species
GAGCUCAUCUGUCUCAGCCCCAUUUAUUUCUCCUGGGUGAUGAGAAGACCUGUGCUUCUCCGUUAAAAGGCACUAGGAAAGAAGGAGUUAAAGUGAAGGCAGGCUCGCUGGUUUGCUGAGAUCUGUCAGAGGCUGACUGGCUGGCUACAUAUCUGUCUCUGGAACAAUAGGUACCUGUAUUCUGCAUGGGCUGCUGGGCAGGCAGUACUAACACUCUGGAGAAGGUCUGCCUCUGUCUGAGCCUUCCUGGUGAGAUUCCCCAGUAACAGUCCUACUUUUCAGAGGAGAGAGAGAGAGAGAGAGAGAGAGAGAGAGAGAGAGAGAGAGAGAGAGAGAGAGAGUUUGAGGCUGUCUACUCUGUUGAUAGAGGACAAAGCUUUGAUCAUUUUUGUUCAGGCUUCACUUGGUGAGAGGUUUUAGGUUCUUAGUCUCAAGUCAGUAGUUGUGCUGCCUUCCCCCCCCCUCCCCUUUCUUUCAUAUUCUCUUUCUGCCGCCCUCCCUCUCUCAUUUCUCCUCAUAGGUUCAAUGCAGGCAGAUGAGUGCCACAGCUGUAACUGAGGCGUAGAAUAAUCAACACAUCGGAGCCAAUCCCCCUGACACCAAGAGGGGAAUCCGGCAGAGGUGACCGACCGCGAGGACAAGACCGUUCUUCUGACAAGUUUUAGGUAAGGGAACAUUUAUAUACAAUUCUUGCAUUUCUGAAUCUCGGUGACUGAGAGAGACACUUGUGAUAAAAAGAAAGGGAAGUCGUUGUAGGUAAAUAUUUUUGAGAGGGCAUCCUUCUUGUUGUCCGUUGCUUGCAGAACCUGUCAGUGUUUAUGCGGGGGCUUUGUGUUACUAGAAUCUUCAGAGGUGAGGUGUGAGCAGGACUGGAGGAAGGGUGAGCUGCUUUUUAUGUCUGUAUGGUGACAUUUACCAUGCUGUUUAAAUCUGUAUCUGUUAAAAAAAAAAAAGAAAGAAAGAAAAUAGAAUUUCUGUUUGACGAUAGUAACGUUUUGUGCAAGGCAGAGCAUAUGGCUGUGCAGAAUUCAAGUGGCGUUCUUUUAUUUUUAAUUUGUAAUUAUUUUUACAUUCAACUGUACUGAGGUCAGAGAGUUUUAAAAAUUAAUGAGAUUCCCUGUGGAGUUCAAAUAGUAAUAUCUACGUGAGCCUCCACAAAGAGAUAAGAUUAGGCCAGUAUAUAUGUAUUUUUUUCUUUCUUUCUUUCUUUUUUUUUUUUUUUUUUUGGCCAUGAUUUGGCUGUCUUACUUUGAAUACACGCCAUCUGAAGCAUAUGUAGGGUUCAAUAGUUUCUGGGAGUUGGUGUGAUUUGGAAGACUAGCCCUUAAUUUAUUGUUUAGUGACCAAGAGGCAUGGAGCCCCAGUUAGACUGCUGAGGAUGAACACUGUUAGGUGGGGACAUUCCUAAAACUUCACAGACUUUAUUGUCAUGACAAUGGAGCGAGUCUUAGACUUUCGAGGAAAGAGCAAAUGAUAAAUGAGGCAACGUGCUAAGAAGAAGAAGAAAAAGAAAAUCUGCGAAUGUGGCUUUAUUUUAAGUACUGUGUGAAAAUUCUAGGUAAAGACAGUUAUUUAGGAUCAAAGCUUGCUGGUCUGAACAAAGAGGCAAAGAUCCGCACAGGUGAAAAUUCUUUGCCACAAAAUGAAUCUAGAGCAUAGAUUAAGGGCAGGAAGUGAUUUGGUGAUUCACUAUUUUAUUUUAUUAUUAUUUUUUUAACCUUUAUUCUUGCCCCAUAAAGGUAGUUCACUGGGUUGAGUCCAGGCAUUUACAACUUUGAUUUCCCACAAUUUAAAAGCAUUGUUUGUGUGUCCGUGGUCUAAGACGCUGUUUAUAGGAGAGGCACUGAGAAGUAGUCUGAACAGAGGGUAAUCUGGGCUUCCAUUUACAAGAUCCAUUCAGGUCUUCCUGUGAUAUAUUGUUAUGUAAAUACUUUUCGGCCAGGGAGAGCUGGGCUAUGGAGAUUCAAUUUACUUUGAAAGUUGUUCAUUAUAGCAAGGAUGAAUGUUAUUUAUUUGAUGCGAUUCAAAGACUGGAAAUGACUUUUUCAUUGUGGUACUUUUUGUGAUGGGUCCAGGGUGAUCUAAUCUUUUUAAUUUUGGCUUUCACACCAGUGGAGAUGAAAAGAGAUCUGAACUCAUUUAUCGGUUGCUAGGUCUUUCUGGAAGCCCAAGUUCUGUUUGUGGUUGCUAUGGUCAGGCUGACCUCAAUCUCUGUGGUUUGAGGGACUUAAGCAGUCAUUUUUUUUCUUUUCUUUUCUUUUCUUUUUUUUUUUUAAUUGAGGAGCAUGUACCUUGAUUUAUGUCCAAAACUGUAGCUGAAUGUCUUUGUCUGCGGGUGAUAUAUGGUGCAGAACAAUUCAUCUGUUCUUACGAGUAAACACCGCUGUCCCACUAAAAAUAUGUUUUGUUCGGAGUUAAUGGUAUGGAACAAGGCAUUCUCCACAAAUAGCUAUCUUUUAUUGUGUUGGGGCCGCGGAAACGCUGAGCAAAGUGCAGGAAAUUGGCAUCAGUCCUCGCGUCUAUUAGCAUUUCAUUUGUGAGUCGCAUGAUAAGACCGGUAGGUGGACAGAGGGAGCCAGGAAGGGUUGUUUCGACAUCUUCACUUUCUCAACUGGGACCGCCUAGCCUGACCCGCAUUCGCCAGGACCCAGUAAGUCAGCGUUAGUUCCCCCUGACCCGGUGAGCAUCGUUUCGCCCAAGCGCUAAAGCACACCCAGGCGGACGUGCUGAGGCUCAGCGCUGGGGACCGGUAUUCUUAGGCUCCUUGAGGGAAAGUUGCUGGGUCCGAUCUCGGCACCACCCAGGACUGUAAUGUCUAUGCGCUACUGAAUGGUCCCCGGUCGCCUGCUUUCUAGACUCUUGUUAGAAAGGAGCCCGGGUGAAUCAGAGGCUAUGGAGAACGCAGCCCAAUUCAGCAGAUGAGCCGGAAUACAGUCCUGCUCCCUUAAAAACUGCUAAUUGAUGGAUGCUGCGGGGGAACAGACACCGCGAACGAGGGCAAAAUAGGAAUCAGGAGAGGCACGUAUUGCCGAUAGCACCACCGAUUUCCUUCUCAAAGCAGCUUGCACGGACUAUCCUCAGGAAAAUGAGAUCCAGGAGAAGUGACGCCCUCCUCGAACUGAAAGAUACUCAUGCUAAUGGUGUCACGGAAGAAGCGAUGUAUCGACAGCUCAGGAUGGCUGCAGGGGACAUAUUCAGACGUGGCCCAGAUUGUCUGCCCAUGGGGACUGAGAUACCUCUGAGAUUUAUAUCAGAUCUCCACAGUCUUUGUCGCUGUAUUUUGUUAGAAAGAAAGGCGAGGCUGUUUCUACAGGUGCCACAGAAAAAUCGAUGCCGAGUCACGGAUUAUUGGAUCCCACAGAACCAUGGAGACUUGGCGGUGAAAUUCUUCUAAAGUUUCUUCUGGCUAUCAGAGAGUUGAAAGGGGAAAAAAAAAUAAAGAGCCAAAGCUGUUUCAACUUCUUGGUUGUUUUACUCCAUGGCUUAGCAUUCCAUCUGCGCAGGCAGAGGUGUUCCUGGUUUGGGAAGUAUAAAUCCCGCGGGAAGUCAACUGGAGAACAUUUUACGCGUCCGUCACUCAUCCUAUUAUGAGCCUGCUGCUCUUCCUUCUCUGGACAAGCCUAAACUUUAAGAUUUGCUGAACAAACCUUGUGUCAAAUUUGGACCACCUAGACAGUAUUCCACCCUGAUUGUAUCCCAUGUCACUAUUCUGUGCAAGGCCACCGACUAGAAGAGCACAGAAUUAUUAAAAAGAAAACAAAAAAAAAAACCAAAAAAAACACAGCUGAAAGUGAACGUCUUUGGAUUUCCCAUUUAAUGAGUUGGCAGCUAAAGGACAGGAGCAGCAAUAAGGCUGCCUGGCUACAUUUUCAUAGUGCCACCAACUGCGAGUUAAGCUGACAAACAUUUUGAGAGCUCGGCCCAUUUCAUUCACAGCAGGAUGGCAGGAGUUAACUAACACUGUAAAAAAAACCUAACUAAAAAUCGUGCCUUUACUGCACAUUUGCACAGAAUCUCAGGACUGAAAGUGUCGAAGUUCUGCUCGACAAGCGGGUGACUGAUUGUCCCUGCCAGCUGGCUAAUAUCAUAAUUAGCAAAGUUGCUACCACAUCUGCAAAGUUUAAUCGAAAAAUUUACCAGUGGUAUGAUGGCAUUGUCACCAUGAUCCCAAGGGAAUCGGAGUCGACUUCUGCUUCAGGAGGAACGGCAAGGCUGUAUAGCUGAGAUGAGAAAUUGUAAACUUGCUCAGCCAAAGGUUAUGCUUCGCAUCACCCACCAGGGAGGAUCAUCUCUCAUGAAAACUUUCAAAUUUGAUUUUGAAAAUUUAUUCAGAAAAAUUUAAGCCACGCUCUUUUUCAACACAGAAAAUAAUAUGCUCCAGAGAAUCCUCUAAUUCACAGAAAAUGGACUCGGAUAACAUUUGGGUUCUCAUACUACCACAGUUCUCUUGAGAAGGACAGCCAGGAGGCUAAUAAUGAAGGGGCCAGGGAAGGAGGCCAAUGCUACAAGGGUUAUCUCUCAACCUCAGAUGUUGGAUAAGUCAGGGAACAGCGUCGUUUCUGGAUGGCUUCAGACAGGCCGGACUGACUGUUUGGAAGAGAAAAACCUGCUUAUUCUUUCAAAGGUACAUGAAUGUUGUCCACACCUUCCCGUCUAAAGGUUAGAAUCUUGCCUUAGACAAAGGAUGCUCUUGGAGUCCCACCACACCUAAAACCACGCUUUGAAGGAUCUGCCAAGCUCACUUUUAAUCAUGAGAAAGAAAUUACCCACAUGGAGACAGCAGAAAAUGAGAAAGGAGAGAUCGUGCUGCGAAUAAUUCCAGCGAGUGCCAAGGGGCUAGUUGAGGAAUGGCUUCAUGAGAUGUUAGUCUAUCUAGAACAACACAUUUGGAUCUAAGCUGGACCUUUGAGAAAGAAAAGACUUCGAGGAAAGACACCUUUACAUAUGGUUUAAUUACCUUUUACCUCAAUUGUUUAAUACAAACUAUCCAACUAUAUCCAUCUUUUCUGCUUCUUGUAUAUUUCUUCUUUUGCUUGAACUGUUUCAGUAUUGACUAUUGAAUUACAUAGUCAUUCUGGAUUUUUAAAAAGAGAAUUCUAAUAAAACUUAUAUAUGUUGCUAA